rnacentral:lncRNA from 1 species
GGGAUUUCUAUUGUAUCUCGAGAUUCUAGAGCUGAGACCUAAACCCUGAAUUCCCACUCUGAAGCCAGUGAUUAUUAUUUUUUUAUUGGUUUUUGCUGUGGCUGCCGUUUUGUUUUUAUUAUGUUUUAUUUAUUUGCAUCUGUGCACGUGUGGGUGGAGGUCAGAGUAUAGCUUGUGAGGAUCAGUUCUCUCCUACCAUUGUAAAUAUCAAGGCUUGAAAUCAGGUUGUCAGGCUUGGCCGCAAAUGCUUUUCCCCACUGAGCCAUCUUGCUAGCUUCAGGUUCUUUGUUUUCUGACUCCUGUUUUGGGUGUCCUGUGGUCCAGGUUGGCCUCACACAGAUGACCUUCAGCUCCUGUCUCCUCCUGCCAAGUACUGGGAUGACAGGUGUGUACUACCAGCCUAGCAGUGAGCAGCAUGGCAGCCCUAGCAUCUGACCCUAACAACCCCAAGCUCUCCCCUUCCCUCCUCUACCAGGAAUACCCCACUCACCCGACUCACCCACAAACUCCUGCUACCACUGUCUGAACAGACUACCUCUUCUGAGGAGAUGGCCUGGAUUGCUUUCUCCUGCUGCCUGUAUCCCCAUGGAACCCUCGCAUCUAGCACUCAGGAGAGCUUCCAACUUGCCUGGCUCCACCUUUCCAAGUUGCGGACUCUGUUGUGUGUUCACCCCACCUUCCCUAAGACACCCUACAAAGUGAAGAUUCGGGAAAACCUACAGACCAGCAGCAGCUGGUGCUUCCGAUGAACCAGAGAACAAACGGAAAGUAAAGAAAAGUGUGGAUCAAAGGAAAGGAGACAGCUGAACAGAUCUCUGAAAGCAGCGAUGGCUGCAGCCAUGGGGACCCCUGAGUCUUCUUUUUAAUUCAUUCUCUCUCUCUCUCUCUCUCUCUCU